GAAUAGUAGUAAUUACCAACAGCAACAAACAGAUCUCCUCAAGGUAAGUCUGUUGGCUGUGUUUUAAUGAAGACCAUCGCUGGACUUCAAGAUCUUCCUCCGUUCAGCUCAAGGUGAGGCGCUGGUUCUGUUUUUCCUUGGUUGGUUCCGGCUGGAAUGUUCGGAUUCCAGUCGGACGGUUUGUGCUUCCCGCCGUGGAAGGUUCUGAGUGCGGUCACUUCAUUUAGUCCGAAUGGUUAGCAUAGAACGUUGUAGUCUUGACAACCAUAAGAAACCAACUGGCAGUUAGUUGGACGGGAGUCCCCUGAGGGAAUCUGGCAGAACGUUCUGGAUUGUAUUUGAGUAACCUCGAGCCGUCGCCAACGGAUUUUUUUUUUUCAGUCGGUUUCCAUUGGGAAUUGUUACCCCUAUUUUGAACAACUUAAGUUUGAUAUUAAAUACUUACUGACACGUACGUCGUACAAUAUGUUGAUAAUUUCCGAUCGUUGCGCCGUACUUUUACCCACGAUGACGUGACGGGUCUCUCACUGCGUACAAAACGGCGUUCUACUUGCGGGCCCAUUUGACAUCACGGAAGGCUGAAAAUCAUUUCAAGGUGGAAGAUAAUUUGACGUUUCUUCAACGGAACCCAGCACCUGAAUAUGGCUGAGUAUAUUUGAUUUAAUAUCGUUACUGCUUAGUGUUCUUUGUUACUUCAGCUUUUGUACGUUCUAAAUAUCUGCUGUCAUUAAUUGCCACAGAAGUUAAACCCUACCCAAUGGAAUGACGUUAAACAACGACUUUGGUGCAGAGUUACCAACUGGAUAAUAUCGAAGCUAAAAUAAUGGCCGUCAUUCCCACAUGUUACAGUAGAAGAUACUCUAGAACAGUACAAGGUUAAAAAGGUAUCCUGUAGUUUGUCCCAAGGUGUUUGCCUCCUCACCCAGAGCCAGACCUCCACCUCCUCACCCAGAGCCAGACCUCCACCUCCUCACCCAGAGCCAGACCUCCACCUCCUCACCCAGAGCCAGACCUCCACCUCCUCACCCAGAGCCAGACCUCCACCUCCUAUCAGAAGUCUUCCAGAACACCUUAAAGGCGAGGCUGAGAGGCUGGGGACCGGAGGCUUGUGGUGCCAGGGUGGACCGGAGACUGAGGCUGGAGACCAGGGGCCUGCAGCACCGGAUCAGAGGGUAACCGUCACCAAGCUCAUCUGAAACACUAAAAUCCACGGUAGUUUAGGUCUGGUUUUGAUCAUCUUAUGACCUUAAAUCUGUGCCAAGCUGUGAUUUGAGUUAAUUUAUACGGGGGUUAUGUAAGAGUCAUAUGAGCCAUUAAUGUUACUAGUGCUGCUACGACCGUAGUGGAUGAAUUGCUGAACGCGACAAUCUGCAGACGUUGUCUAAUUUAAGUGUUUAAAUUUGUCUUACAUUUUACAAGUGAACCUCAGAUGCAGGAGGUGGGGUGUGUUGCGUCCCCAGGUGAUUUACUGCUGAGACCAACUGUUUGUAACCAUACCAGGAAUACAUGGCUGAUUGAGGAGCCGUGCUGAAGGAGCUGAUGGAGGAGCCGUGCUGAAGGAGCUGAUGGAGGAGUCGUGCUGAAGGCCCUGCCUUGUGGAGGAGCUGGUGGAGGCCCUGCCUGGUGAAGGACGUCUGUCGUGGGACCAGGACUCUGUCUGAGGAGAGCUGAGACGCUGGAGGACGACUUUGAAUCGACCAACAAGGAUUCCUCACCGUGUUUCUGGAGCGGAGGCGAGCUGGUAGGGGAGCCGUGAAUCUGGAGGAUGACCAUCACUCUACCAACAAGGAUUACUUUAGGGCCAGACUCGUGCUGUUUGUUCCAGACCAGGACUCUGGCUGAGGAGAGCUGAUGGAGGAGCCAAGACUCUGGAGGACGACAUCACUCCACCAACCAGGAUCCUCAGACAAAUUACGUUUGUAACCAGACCAGGAAUCUGGAGGACUGAUGGAGAAGCCAUACAUCUGGAAGGCAAAUCCUGAGGACCACCAGGACUCUACCAUCAAGGAUUCCUCAUAAAUGUGCAUUAUCUGGACAUAGUGGACUAGACACACCUGAGCUGAACCUCACCUGAUCCUGUUUGGUCGGGGGUAGACACACCUGAGCUGAACCCGCCCUGAUCCUGACAUCCUGUUGGUCCCGUCUCCUCAGUUCAUCAGAGCCUCGUCCUCCAGAAGACCUGCUGAGCUCAGCAGUCCGAGGCUGAUGGAUCAAUGACUUCCAGUGGGAGUGAUCUUCUUGACCCCACAUGUAACCGUGUGCUUCCACACGCCUUUCCCUCACGUCUGUCACUAACCUCACUACUUCACUACUCUCUACUGCUUCCUCUUUUCUUCCUUCUCUGUGGUUCAAACCGUUACACGGAAGGCGUGUCUUCCUGCCCUCAGAGGGUUUAGCGUUAGGGUUGAGAGUCAGGGUUUAGAGUCAGGGACAGAGCUGGUCAGGGAGGACUGCUUUUACACAAACCUCUUCACUUGCUUUCGGAAUGGUGGUGACAUUUUGAAAAGAUUAAUUUGGGAAAAUGUUUUCCUCUGCUUUCCUUUACAAAAUUGUAUUAAACUUCUGUCAAGUGUUUUUGUUUAUAUAUUAAAAUCCCACAUUGACUUCUA